CCGAGCGCGACGCUUCCCUGCGGCCCCGGCGGCUCCAGGUCCGGAGGUCAGUUAGCCCAGGCUCAGCCCAGCCCAGCUCGGGGUAGUGACUGAGGAAGAGCUCCCCCAGUCCGGCGGUUUGCCCUUGGGAGAAUUCCAGCAUGACAUCUGCAGCCCUGUGGUUCCAGAAAGGAUGGUUCUCACGCUGAAGAAGACAUUCGUGGGACUGAGUUACUUCCGCCCAAGUGUAAAGAAACCAAAAAUGAAAUUUAAAAAUA